rnacentral:rRNA from 1 species
AUUGAACGCUGGCGGCGUGCCUAAUACAUGCAAGUCGAACGAAGUGGCGCGCGGGUGAGUACUAUAUAUUUAAUCUGCCCUACACAGAGGGACAACAGUUGGAAACGACUGCUAAUACCUCAUAGUGUAGGAUGAGGCGAAAUCGUAUCAGCUAGUUGGUAAGGUAAUGGCUUACCAAGGCUAUGACGCGUAACUGGUCUGAGAGGAUGCUCAGUCACAUUGGAAGUGAGACACGGUCCAAGCUCCUACGGGAGGCAGCAGAAAGGAAUUGUGCGCAAGGGGCGAAUGCCUGACGCAGCUUCGCCGGGUGGAGGAUGUCACUUGGGGGAGCGUAAACUCCUGUUAUCAGGAAAGCGGUACCUGAUGAAGAAGCACCGGCUAACUACGUGCCAGCAGCCGCGGUAAUUC